CGCCAAACGGGCAGUUCAACGGUCGCCAUUUACACUCAAAAGUUAGACAGUCUGCAGUAGCCAUCGACGAGAUUGGAGAAGAUUCUGAACAAAAGAUGUCAUCAUCUUCUGCUCCAUACCCAUCAGAUGAGGGUAAUGAAGAGGGUAACAUUGCUGUCCAACUUUUAAAAUUCAAAACCAGACUGCUUGAAGCAGUGGCAGAACUACAUAUCCACAGGGAUGCAGAGAUACGAUGUGAGGAGCAGAUCAAUAAACUUGUGUUGGAAAAACAAGAAUUAGAAUGGCAGAAGGUAUUUAUUAUGAUGACACAUUAUUAACAGCCAUAUUCUGUUUUUAAUGUAAAAAUGCUGAUGGGUAGAAAGAAGGAAGCACAUAGGUACACCUAUCUGAAACAAUAAAUUCUGAGGAAGAUAGUUGUAUAUGGCAAG